GGCAUCUGAUUACGAAUGAAGCAAGGGACGCAAGCCUUGGAGAAUGGAGGGGCCGUUGCAGAUAGGUAGUUGGUGAGGUAAAGGUCACCAAGCCGUCGAUCUGUAGCUGUUUGAGAGGACGACCAGCCACACUGGGGCUGAGACACGGCCCAGACUCCUACGGGAGGCAGCAGUGGGGAAUUUUUGACAAUGGGCGAAAGCCUGAUCCAGCCAUGCCGCGUGCAGGAUGAAGGCCUUCGGGUUGUAAACUGCUUUUGUACGGAACGAAACGGCCUUUUCUAAUAAAGAGGGCUAAUGACGGUACCGUAAGAAUAAGCACCGGCUAACUACGUGCCAGCAGCCGCGGUAAUACGUAGGGUGCAAGCGUUAAUCGGAAUUACUGGGCGUAAAGCGUGCGCAGGCGGUUAUGUAAGACAGUUGUGAAAUCCCUGGGCUCAACCUGGGAACUGCAUCUGUGACUGCAUAGCUAGAGUACGGUAGAGGGGGAUGGAAUUCCGCGUGUAGCAGUGAAAUGCGUAGAUAUGCGGAGGAACACCGAUGGCGAAGGCAAUCCCCUGGACCUGUACUGACGCUCAUGCACGAAAGCGUGGGGAGCAAACAAAGG
rnacentral:rRNA from 1 species